GACAAACGCUGGCGGCGUGCUUAACACAUGCAAGUCGAACGAAGAUUUGAGAGCUUGCUUUUGAAUCUUAGUGGCGGACGGGUGAGUAACGCGUGAGAAACCUGCCUUUCAGAGGGGGAUAACGUUUGGAAACGAACCCGNUAAUACCGCAUGAUGCAGCGAGAUCGCAUGGUCUUGCUGCCAAAGGAGCAAUCCGCUGAAAGAUGGUCUCGCGUCCGAUUAGCUAGUUGGUGAGAUAACAGCCCACCAAGGCGAACGAUCGGUAGCCGGACUGAGAGGUCGAACGGCCACAUUGGGACUGAGACACGGCCCAGACUCCUACGGAGGCAGCAGUGGGGGAUAUUGCACAAUGGAGGAAACUCUGAUGCAGCAACGCCGCGUGAGGGAAGAAGGAUUCGGUUUGUAAACCUCUGUCUUCGGUGACGAUAAUGACGGUAACCGAGGAGGAAGCUCCGGCUAACUACGUG
rnacentral:rRNA from 1 species